rnacentral:rRNA from 1 species
CCUACGGGAGGCAGCAGUGAGGAAUAUUGGUCAAUGGGCGCGAGCCUGAACCAGCCAAGUAGCGUGAAGGAUGACUGCCCUACGGGUUGUAAACUUCUUUUAUAAAGGAAUAAAGUGAGGCACGUGUGCCUUUUUGUAUGUACUUUAUGAAUAAGGAUCGGCUAACUCCGUGCCAGCAGCCGCGGUAAUACGGAGGCGCAGAGCGUUCUCCGGAUUUAUUGGGUUUAAAGGUAGCGUAGAUGGGUUGUUAAGUCAGUUGUGAAAGUUUGCGGCUCAACCGUAAAAUUGCAAUUGAUACUGGCAGUCUUGAGUACAGUGGAGGUAGGCGGAAUUCGUGGUGUAGCGGUGAAAUGCUUAGAUAUCACGAAGAACUCCGAUUGCGAAGGCAGCUUACUAAACUGCCACUGACAUUGAUGCUCGAAAGUGUGGGUAGCAAACAGGAUUAGAUACCCCAGUAGUC